rnacentral:rRNA from 1 species
UACAGAGGUCUCAAGCGUUGUUCGGAUUCAUUGGGCGUAAAGGGUGCGUAGGUGGCGCGCUAAGUCAGGUGUGAAAUUUCGGAGCUUAACUCCGAAACUGCAUUUGAUACUGGCGUGCUUGAGGACUGGAGAGGAGACUGGAAUUCACGGUGUAGCAGUGAAAUGCGUAGAUAUCGUGAGGAAGACCAGUGGCGAAGGCGGGUCUCUGGACA